UCUAAUUACAGAUAUUAUAACACCAAACAUAUCACAAGCUCUUUACCGCUAUUUAUGUCAAAAUAUCGUAGGAACGGAAAAGCAUGUUAAAACAAUCAGAUUAAUGAACAUGGUGAGAGAUAAUUUGUCGAAUAACAAGAAGGAAACAGUAAUAACAAGUGGAAGCAUUGGAGAAGGACUUGACAUGCGAGGAAGUGAUUUUGAUAUUAUGUUUGUGAGCAAAUUCGUUGAGGUUAUUGAGAAUGUACAACCUGACUUUGAUACACGUAGAACUUAUUUGUCCAUGGAUACAGACGAUGUAAAGCCUGGUUAUACUUUAUUAAGACUAGACUAUAGCAGAGAUUCGUUUUGUCUUUUUCAAUUAUGUGAAGAACAUUAUGGUAAACGUUAUUUUUCUAGUGCAUUAUGUAAGGGAAAAUGAUAUUGGUAUUGAAAGAAGGCAACCAAAUUCAUGGACCGUGUAUAUCUGACAGAAAUGGAUUUUUUGAUCUCUGCCUUUUCUUUACAUUGUAAAACGUGGAUAUCUUCUGCUGUAAAUUGGAUAACAAGAUCAGGUAGCUCAUGGCCGAGUCAUAACGUCAUACAAAGUAUUAUAAAACACGGAGUACUUUUUGUACCGAUCGGAGUUCACGGAUCACCGAAAGAAGAUCUAGAAUGGCGAGUAUCUUUUUCAGUAGCUGAAAAACUUCUAAUUAAUACAUUUACUCACACCCAAUUAAUGUGCUAUGCUCUCUUGAAAAUAAUUUUGAAAGAUGUUAUAGCAAAUGAUUCUGAAUGUAAAGAUUUACUCUGUUCAUAUUUCCUUAAAACAAUUAUUUUCUGGAUAUCUGAAGAACUACCAUCAUCUGUAUGGAAGCCUUGAUAAUCUUAUAACUUGUUUUAUGCGAUGUUUCAGCAGGUUAGUCUAUUGUGUUGAGCAUUCGGUUUGUUCACAUUACUUCAUUCCAGAAAACAACAUGUUCGAGAACAAAAUAGAGGGCCGUGCUCGUGAUGUACUUUUAAAAAAAUUAAACACGUUACACAGCUAUGGUUGGCGAUGCAUUUUAUUUUCAGAUCAAAUAUCUAACUUUGCUGUAUCGAUGUGGAAUUUUCCAAUUGAACCAUUUACAUUAUAUGUAAAUGACGUUAAGAAAAUAGUGC
rnacentral:lncRNA from 1 species